UACGGAGGAUGCAAGCGUUAUCCGGAUUUAUUGGGUUUAAAGGGUGCGCAGGUUGUUUGAUAAGUCAGUGGUGAAAGUCUGUCGCUUAACGGUAGGAUUGCCAUUGAUACUGUUGGACUUGAAUAUGGAUGAGGUAGGCGGAAUGUGUAGUGUAGCGGUGAAAUGCAUAGAUAUCACACAGAACACCGAUUGCGAAGGCAGCUUACUAAUCCAUCAUUGACGCUGAGGCACGAAAGCGUGGGGAUCAAA
rnacentral:rRNA from 1 species